GACUCGGUGGCGGAUGGUCCGCGUCCACAACUUAUAGUUCGAUGUUAGUUGCAUUCGCUGUGGAAGUCGCCUGUUCGAAUCAGACCCGAGUCA